UACGUAGGGUGCGAGCGUUGUCCGGAAUUACUGGGCGUAAAGAGCUCGUAGGUGGUUUGUCGCGUUGUCCGUGAAAACUCACAACUCAAUUGUGGGCGUGCGGGCGAUACGGGCAGACUGGAGUACUGCAGGGGAGACUGGAAUUCCUGGUGUAGCGGUGGAAUGCGCAGAUAUCAGGAGGAACACCGGUGGCGAAGGCGGGUCUCUGGGCAACAACUGACGCUGAGGAGCGAAAGCGUGGGGAGCGAAUAGG
rnacentral:rRNA from 1 species